rnacentral:rRNA from 1 species
AAUGAACGCUGGCGGCAUGCCUAACACAUGCAAGUCGAACGAAGGCUUCGGCAUUAGUGGCGCACGGGUGCGGAACGCGGGGGAAUCUGCCCGUGGGUACGGAAUAACAGUUAGAAAUGACUGCUAACGUCGGAAGACGUCGGAAGACCAAAGAUUUAUCGCCCAAGGAUGAGCCCGCGUAGGACUAGCCGGUUGGGGGGGUAAAGGCCUAUCAAGGCGACGAUCCUUAGCUGGGCAGAGAGGAUGGUCAGCCACACUGGGACUGAGACACGGCCCAGACUCCUGCGGGAGGCAGCAGUGGGUAAUAUUGGACAAUGGGCGAAAUCAUGAUCCAGCACUGCCGCGUGAGUGAUGAUGUCCUGAGGGAUGUAAAGCUCUUUUACCCGGGGUGAUAAUGACAGUACCGGGAGAAUAAGCACCGGCUAACUUCGUG